AUUGAACGCUGGCGGCAGGCCUAACACAUGCAAGUCGAGCGGAUGAAGGGAGCUUGCUCCUGGAUUCAGCGGCGGACGGGUGAGUAAUUCCUAGGAAUCUGCCUGGUAGUGGGUGAUAACGUCCGGAAACGGGCGCUAAUACCGCAUACGUCCUGAGGGAGUAAGUGUGGGAUCUUCGGACCUCACGCUAUCAGAUGAGCCUAGGUCGGAUUAGCUAGUUGGUGGGGUAAAGGCCUACCAAGGCGACGAUCCGUAACUGGUCUGAGAGGAUGAUCAGUCACACUGGAACUGAGACACGGUCCAGACUCCUACGGGAGGCAGCAGUGGGGAAUAUUGGACAAUGGGCGCAAGCCUGAUCCAGCCAUGCCGCGUGUGUGAAGAAGGUCUUCGGAUUGUAAAGCACUUUAAGUUGGGAAGAAGGGCAGUAAGUUAAUACCUUGCUGUUUUGACGUUACCAACAGAAUAAGCACCGGCUAACUUCGUG
rnacentral:rRNA from 1 species